AACUGGUCUACCAUUACAGAUGGAUUUCAUAAUAGAGUCCAGCAGUCCUGCUGGGGCCAAGACCUCAAGGAGUUCUGCAUAUGAAUCUGAAGGGAAGGCAAACAUCUAAUCUGUCACACCACCCAUAUCCUUUCCACUUAUAGGUUCCCUCUGUGUGCUGGGUAGUAUGCUAAUUAAUUCAAGUGCAUGUCACACCCAUAUGAUGACAUCCUGUGACUCAGAUGCUGGGACUCCCGUCAUACCUGAAGUCAGAAAGAAGAAAUUAGGACAAGAGAACAAGAAGGAAUCCCCAUCCACCCAAAUUGAAGAAAUUGGGACCCCAGGCUGGAGAGAGAGGUACAGAUCUCUCUCCUCCUGCAUCUUCCUUGAAAGACACCUGCCCACUUCCAUACAAAGCCCCCACCAAAGUGACACCAGCUACUUGUGAAUGGAGCCAACUUUACUGAAGAUUUAGAGGUUAUGUGGACCCUGGCUAAGAACUCGGAAUAGUUGAGGAAAAUCAUUUUCCACCCCUGCAGUGCACAGACUUGUCAAGUCCACACUAAUGAGCACUAAUCUGGCUCCUCCAACCAAUGAACGCUGUGCUUGGCUCUGUCUGGGAACACACUGAGAACUCUGGCCUCUUUGGCUGCCACAGGAUGCAUCCCCAGAAAUGCCUGAUAGGGUGACUCAUGUCUCCCUACCUGAAGCCUUAUUGGCUCCUGCAAGUUCUAGAGAAACUCCUGGGGAAAAGCUACACUGCCUGUUCUUGCUGGAUUUAGCCCAGGAGCCUUCUGAUGGGGGCAGCACAGUCAGGGAAAUCAGGAGCCCUGGACAGUAAGAGGAGGAGAUCAGGAGGGGAUGGCAAGACCCCCAGCCUGACCCCAGUUCCCAGUGCCCUCUAGCAGCAGAAAUAGGAAAAGGAGGUUGAGGACAGGCAGUUACUGCAACCUCCCAUGCUGAGCAUACGACCAGGUUCAGCCCAGUGGCCCAGCACCUGCAGAUGCAGGACAGCCCUGCCGUGUACUAACCCUGCACCUCCCAGGCCCACUGCUCUCCCACUGUGACCCCACGUGGAGGCUGGUCUAUCCAAAGACCGGGCCAUUGGCCAGAAGCCCAGUCCUCCAUGGCCUCUGUCAGGCAGGACAGAGCUGGAGCCCAGGCAGACAUGAGGACAGGGGAGGAUGGCCCUCCUCAGCCAGGGAAGUUCCUUCCAGCUGGACCUGGGGCCUCUCUCACAGAGAACCAACGUGAUCUUGCUUCCCCCACUUUCCUAUCUCAAAGGCGCUACCUACCUGCCAGAAACUACCUGCAUUCUUAAGGCUUUGCCAGGUCUGCUUUCAUUGGAUCAAAAUGGCACAAUCAGCACAACACCCAUGGCAUCGUAGGCAACAAACAAUAAGAAAAUGUUUUUUACCCUCUUCCUGGGCAGGGGUUUCCUGGAAUAGUAAAGCUCUCCAAGGUGUCAGGGGCCAGCAGCCAGGG
rnacentral:lncRNA from 13 species